rnacentral:lncRNA from 1 species
UUUUUUCCUUUGCACGCAACCUCCAGGGCCUCCGCCGCGUCUCUUUGCCGCCUCCGCCGCUUCUCCCGCGCCUUAUCCUCCCAGUUCCUCUCUCCUAGCUAAUCUCCAACCCUACACCAUCCUCUCCUCCUUGACCGCCUUUCUCCUCCAUUGGAAAAGGAGCACGGGCUCGUCUCUGCGUAGCCGCUACAAGGACGUCGGGUGGAGGGAUCAGUGGUCGGUGGUAAGAGUAGGAGCACACGGGGGCGGACGGCCUCCCUGCGCGACGGUGGAUACUUCACCGACGGCCAGCCAAUACGUCGGACAGAAGAAGAAGAUGGCGUGGGCGAUGAUAUGGUGCGGUGGAAGAAUACGGCGUGGGCGAUUCCGGUGAGAUAUGCCUCCAGCGACGCAAUAAUGUGAAGAUCCUCUCCACAAGCCAUACUCUUGCGUUGCAGCGAGAGGUCGUUAGAUUCGUCGUGCUAGACGUAGCCGUCGCCCACUUGCUCCACCUAAAGUUCCUCCUCCCCACCACGGGUAGAUGCCGGUGAGGCCAGCCUUCCCUGCACGUGCAGGUACUCCCCCGCCCCCUUUCCCUAUCUCUCUUCCCUGACCCCGUCUCUCGAUUGUACACAGAGAGAGACCCGUGGUGGCAGCACAACAGUGCUUCAGUGGAUAGGUUGUGAAAGAAAGUUCAGAUUAGGGACUAUCAUUCUCAUAGAGUCAUAGUAUGCUUUGCUGAGGUAGAUUUUUCAAGUUUACCAGGUUUAGUUAGGUUUUUGUACCCUUGUUGAGAUGGCAUGACACUGAUAAAUUUAUUUUGUUGACGUAGCUACUUUGUUCCCCAAUUUUACCGAUGCAUUUUAUUCUUAUAUCUACCUGAUUUCUUAACCGAUUCAUCUGUUGGCUUAGAUAGUACUUCAAAUUAUCCGGUGAUGCACACAUUUUAUUUCAAAAGAAAAUUUGAUUGAUUGAGGAGCUGCACACUAUCUCAGUUUGUAUAUGCUUUCAACGUCGAAAAUAAUUUAGCCAUGUUUAUGUUUUUUUGCUUAGGUGAGCCUUCCCAUGAUGAUGAAUUUGCAUAAGAAUGCAGAUUUUCCUUGGGAAUCCUACUAGAUGGGUAGAGAUCUUGAUAGAUUUACUUAAUAUUCAGGAGCCCAAGAGUAAUGUACUGUCUUCUCUAAUUUGGAAAUGAAGUAUGGUGUGCGGAGUGGAUGUACUAACAUAGUAUGUGCUUUUGUGCUGAAUUACAUGGAAGGUCAAGAUGACCUCACCUACUGAAAUGUUUUUUUGGUUAUGUUUAUUAAUCUAUGGAUGCCUACUGGCCCUAAAUAUGUUUGGUCAAAAUGUUUUCCUAUGAAGUUUCUAUGCUAUAUAAGAAAGUUAGUCUGAAAUAUUUGAAGUCAUAUUCUAUUGUA